GUCCUCAUGGCCUCAUAAGGGGUCCUACCUCACCAAGGACUGGGGAUGCUGCUGUCAACAUCCCUCUCCGUCCACUGCCCCUCCUCUGAAAGCAGCCGCUUCCCAGAUGCGCAGGGCAACCCCGCUUUCCAGAUCCUUCGCCACACAGAAUUCUCGGUGCACCUCUCCACAGAUACAGAAUGAACACUUGUCAUGAGUCAUGUACCAUUACAGCUCUGAGGAUCAAAGAGAGAACAAUGACCUUGCCCUCAUCAAAUUCCAUUCUAGUGCUGGUAGGUGGAUAGUAAAGAAGUGAGCAAAUAAACAAGUGUUCCGGAACCAGACCCACCAAAUCUACUAGCUGUGCUUGUACAGCGGUUUGCCUUCUUCCUUUCAAAAAGCACGACUAAAGGGAAACGCAGCCUUGGGGGAUCCUUCCAAUAGAAGAGGGGCGGCUCUCUGCCUCGAUACCUCUAAGAGAAGUAAAGCCUUGAAGGCAGAGCAAGACAGCGAGAGGGGCUGGCAGGUCCCAGACAGAACCAUAUGGCUCGCUCCACGGUCCACGUAAAUUACCUUUCAGCAUGGAGCUAAACAAAAGAACUCAGAAUAAUUCUGUAUUUUAGUCAAGCCUGCCUUUCUGCCAUGCAGGUUUCCUACCCAACAGAAUCUAUCUGCAUAGGCCGGUGCCAAAUGCAUCCUGGUCAGUCGGCCUGUGAUUUAAGACCAGCUCUUUCUUGUCCCCAUCCUCCAUAAUGAAGUCAGUCACAUUUUAUUGCCAAAUGGCCCUGGUAAUGCCUCUGUAACUGCCCAUCGAAGGUGCUUUUGCUUUCGGGAAUAAA